GAGAUCAUGCCCUUCGGGGUAGACCUCCCACCCUGUGUUAUUUACUCUUGUUGCUUUGGCAGGCCGCCUUCGGGCUCCCGGUUUCGGCUGGGGCGCGCCUGCCAGAGAACCCCAAACUCUGAAAUUUAAUGUCGUCUGAGUACUAUAUAAUAAGUUAAAACUUUCAACAACGGAUCUCUUGGUUCU
rnacentral:misc_RNA from 1 species